ensembl:lncRNA
UUUGUAAGUAAUACUGAAAUUUUUACAGUAGGUUCUUAGAGCACUUGAUUCAAGAAUUUUAAACAUUUAGAGACAAUUCAAGGAAGAAAAGUAGCCUUGAAAGUUACUUAAGUCUUAGAUUUUCUCAAUACCCACUAGAAAUAUAUUAGUGAAAUUUAGAUCUUUUUCCUAACAUAAAUGUUCAACCUUAAGUUUAAGCAAUUUUGCAUAGUUCUAUUUUUUAAAUGAUGAAUAAAUUCUGGAAAUGUAAUACUUGAAGAAUUAUUCUGACAUCAGAUAUUUAUAGUUACAAAAUCCCUAUUAAUGUAUGAGAAUCAUAUAUAAGUGUAUUAUCUGUCAUAAAAGUGUGUGCUCUGACAUUUGCUUUGUUUUGUAAGAACAAGAGUUACUAAUGUAUAUUCAGUGUAUUUACAUAAGUAAUUCCUAUUGUAGCACAGUCAUCUAGUAGAUUAGAUGUCUACUCUGUAUGUCUCAGAGAAAAUAAUCACUUAAGUACCUCUCAUUUUCUUUAGAUGAAUGCCUAAUGAUUUUGAAAAGUGACUCAACCAGAAAGUGCAUAAACCCUUAAAGGAAGUACGCCUAUUGCAGUCAGUGCGAAGGUGCCGUGGGAACACACACAGAAUGUCACAAUGCAAAAGGGGCCCCUUGAACCAGACCUGAGGUUCAUGGAAGGCUUGGCUUCCUGAAGGAGUGACUGAAGCAGAAGAUGGAAAAGAGUUGGGCAGAUAAAAAGGAUUUCAAAAUAGGAAGACCUCUGUUGGACCCUGUACCUCAAUAAAGGAAGCUCCACCACCACCAAGCCACUAUGGCUGGGUGGACAAGAAAGAGCAGAAGGAAAAGAAUCAAGAUUUGG